GGCUGGUCCAAAGGUAGUGAGUUAUCUCAGCUGCUUGUUCACAGUCAGUUACAGAUUGAACUCCUUAUUCUAUUCUUUUCCUCCUUCUCACUACUGCUCUUGACUAGUCUUGA
rnacentral:Y_RNA from 1 species